AUUGUUACUCUAAAUGUGUUGAUUAUUAUUUUUAUUAACAGUAGAGAGAGUGCAGAGUGGUAAAUUACUCUCUUACAGUUGAAUUUACCAAGAACAACACAUCAAAGUCUUGUGGUCUGUUUGGUCCCAAACGCAGCAGCGAAUGAGUUGAAGCAGCAGUGGCUGAAGAAGCCUGAAGAAGAAGACGAAGAAAACAAUGAAAAGAUACAUCAUGAGGUCGAAUCUGUUUCCGCUUCUCUUUGCAUUUGCCUUUCUGUUUUCGCCUGUGUUCUCUGCUUCGGAUCUGAUCCUCGCCAAGGUUGACCGUCGUCCGAGAGAUUUUUGACAAGUGGCAAGCUCAAAAAUGGUGGGGUGAGAAUUAUGACAGAAUCAUGGAGCUUUACAAUGUCUAGAGAUUCAAUCGACAAGCUCUUAACAUCCUUCCAAAUCUGAGGAUGAGGUAAUCUAAUACUUCUACACUAGUACGAUGUUAAGUUGUUAACAACAGUUCAUUGCACGUUUGACAUGCAGGAUCAUAUGGGGAGGUGUGUCGUGGUGCAUGGCGUGUAACACUGCUAUAAUAUUAUAUAGCAUCUCUGCUAUAUAAAGCAUCAUAAUCAAUCCAUGUUGGCAAUUUAAACCAAUCACAAGUGAUGUUAAUGCAAAGUUCCUUUUGAAAUUAAGGAUCAUAGCUUGAGUUUGGAGAUGCAGGUGGAAGUGGUCUGAAAAGAAGAUAUGUUCAAAGAGAUGGUCAAAAUAAUGAAAAGAUUGAGGCAUCCAAAUGUUGUUCUCUUCAUGGGAGCAGUAACUCGAUCUCCAAAUCUUUCAAUUGUUACCGAAUUUCUUUCCAGCAAACCAGUAUGCAAAUGAGCCUGAGUCUUCUAUGGGUACAAGAGGAUCAUCUGGUGGUAGCAACAUUUAGGAUGUUGAUGAUGUUUUUUAGGAUGAAACUAUUUUAGUGUAUUAUGAACUUUGAGUAAGUAUGGAUUAAGUUGUAAUUGUUUCAAUUUAAAUUGUUUUUAUGUUAAUAUGUUGAUUUUGAGAAUCAAAAGUUCUAAUGAUAUAUAUUUGAGCACUUUGAU